rnacentral:rRNA from 1 species
UACGUAGGGGGCAAGCGUUGUCCGGAUUUAUUGGGCGUAAAGAGCGUGUAGGCGGCUGGGGUAGGUCCGCUGUGAAAACUCGAGGCUUAACCUCGAGACGUCGGUGGAAACCAUCCAGCUAGAGUCCGGAAGAGGAGAGUGGAAUUCCUGGUGUAGCGGUGUAAUGCGCAGAUAUCAGGAAGAACACCCGUGGCGAAAGCGGCUCUCUGGGACGGUACUGACGCUGAGACGCGAAAGCGUGGGGAGCGAACAGG